rnacentral:rRNA from 1 species
CGGGGUGCACCAGGCGCGAAAACUUUACAAUGCCGGCAACGGCGAUAAGGGAACCUCGAGUGCCAGGUUACAAAUCUGGCUGUCGUGAUGCCUAAAAAGCAUUGCAUAGCAAGGGCCGGGCAAGACCGGUGCCAGCCGCCGCGGUAACACCGGCGGCUCGAGUGGUAACCGUUAUUAUUGGGUCUAAAGGGUCUGUAGCCGGCCGGAUAAGUCUCUUGGGAAAUCUGGCAGCUUAACUGUCAGGCUUUCAGGAGAUACUGUCUGGCUCGAGGCCGGGAGAGGUGAGAGGUACUUCAGGGGUAGGGGUGAAAUCUUGUAAUCCUUGAAGGACCACCAGUGGCGAAGGCGUCUCACCAGAACGGACCUGACGGCAAGGGACGAAAGCUAGGGGCACGAACCGGAUUAGAUACCCGGGUAGUCCUAGCCGUAAACGAUACUCGCUAGGUGUCGGCCACGGUGCGACCGUGGUCGGUGCCGUAGGGAAGCCGUGAAGCGAGCCACCUGGGAAGUACGGCCGCAAGGCUGAAACUUAAAGGAAUUGGCGGGGGAGCACAAGGGCGAAUGGC